rnacentral:lncRNA from 1 species
AAAAACCCAAAAUGUUUCUCUAUUUUGUCUCAGGAUAAUUAUACUGCCAAUUUUUUUGUUGACUCCAUCUUUGUACCCCUCCAGAAACAACAGUUCUAAAGCCAGAGGAGGUGGAUGUACCCCCACAGAAUGCCUUUAGAAGUGACUUCUCUCCAAAAGAGUAUUGUCUGGGGGUAUGCUGAGAACAUCAGGACUCUACAUAAUGGAAAAAGGUCUCUAGAUUGUAUAUACAAGCAUUCCUUUCUUAGGAUCAGAUAA